CCCCUCUCAGGGUCGCACCUGGAGAGUUUCCAGUCCUCUACCAGUCUUAAUUAUGGGAGGGAGAGUCAAGCAGACACAUACACAUUCCAUUCCUAGCUUGGGCAGUGGCUAGCGAGUGGAAGGCCAUCAGCUACAAGU